rnacentral:lncRNA from 1 species
CUGCAGUCUUAUCAUUGGUUGGAUAUGUUGUAUUUAAUUUUUUUAAAGUUAAAAAUAAAUUAAAUCCGUUUUUUGAAACGUAUAAAAUGAAUGCUGAAGAAUUAUUAAGCGAGCAAAUUGUGGAAAACAUGAAUAUUGAUGAUGAUAAACAAGCGAGCGAAGUGAACGGUUCCCUUCAAGAAAAAAAACGCGAGAGAUUAUCAUCCGUUGUUGCUGGUGGGAGUAGUAAACAAUAUCUGACAGUUGUAAUUCUUUUUUGGGGGGUGCGCUGGAGUCGUUAAAGUACUAUACUACUUUUGUUUUAAAUAUUGCAGUAAUUACUAAAGUUACUUGUAGGUCGGUCAAUCUAGGAUAAAAUUGACACUAACCUAAAAGUAAUUGCAACAGAAGA